UGGCAUUUAUCUUCUGAUGGGAGUGGUGGUUGUAGAUGCAACAGCAGAAUACAAGAGCCAGGAUGUGGCUUUCUUUCCUUACCAGGCACGUCCAUUGCUCUGUGUGGACACCUGUAUUUGUGGGAGGAAUAUCCAGCUCCUUUGACUGGCUAUGAGCAGUUCUGCCCACUGAUCAUUCAGAGUUUCUCUCCUCUGGUGAGGACAGUAAAUUGUCUCAAGAAUUUUCUUCAACAGACCUGGGAAGCUGGUGUCCUCAGAGCUAAGCCAUCCUGUGUUUGUUUGUUCCAUACAAGUCCAGAGACUGAGGCAGCGAGGGCGGCAGUGCAGCCAAACUUGGAGUGCAGAGCCUUGUUCCUCAUGCCCUGACAACAGGACUUCCAAGUUGUGCACUGCAUUGGAAAUGUUGCAUCCCCAGGCUUGGAUAUGUCUCUGACCCAAGAGAGGUGCUCAGAGGAGAGAAGGAAGCUUACUGAGAUUAAUGCCUAGUCUGGUAAGUCUCCAUGUGACUCCUUGCGUUGACCCCAACCUAGUUAUUGCUGUGAAGAAACAAGCUUUAUAAGAUCAGGAACAAAGACACUGAUGUCUUCUAUGCUUUCUUUCUGAAAAAGAAACAAAAUUAAAACCAGACAACGUAAUUUGGCCUCUUCUGGCACAAGACUUCUGAGCAGAAUAGGAAAAACGACCUUUUGCCAUCCCAAGAACAAAUUAUUUUGUC
rnacentral:lncRNA from 1 species